AUUGAACGCUGGCGGCAGGCCUAACACAUGCAAGUCGAACGAGUGGCGGACGGGUGAUUAAUGUCUGGGAAACUGCCUGAUGGAGGGGGAUAACUACUGGACACGGUAGCUAAUACCGCAUACCCUCAGAUGUGCCCAGAUGGGAUUAGCUUGUUGGGGGGGUAACGGCUCACCAAGGCGACGAGCCCUAGCUGGGCUGAGAGGAUGACCAGCCACACUGGAACUGAGACACGGUCCAGACGUCUACGGGAGGCAGCAGUGGGGAAGAUUGCACAAUGGGCGCAAGCCGGAUGCAGCCAUGCCGCGUGUAUGAAGAAGGCCUUCGGGUUGUAAAGUAAUUUCAGCGUGGAGGCGUUACCCGCAGAAGAAGCACCGGCUAACUCCGUGCCAGCAGCCGCGGUAAUAC
rnacentral:rRNA from 1 species